rnacentral:lncRNA from 1 species
AAAGGACUAGGGUAGCAAUUAUACCCUAAUCACAAAAACAUGCGGAUCUUGAGGUACUCGGGUUGGGUUUCAAAGGCCUGCCCCAAACAACGUUGCUUAGGGGGUUUAUAAAUAUAAAAAAAACAUUUAGACCUUGUUUAAAAAAAAACAAAAAAAGCCUUCUUUUUCUCUGUUCUCUCUCUGAGGUAGACCCAGAAUCUGGCUGUUGGAGUUGCCGGGCUUCGCCGUGACGACC